AAGUAGUAGAGAGAGAGGGGGAUAAUAAUAGAGAGAGGGAUAGUAAUAGAGAGAGAGGAUAGUAAUAGAGAGAGAGGGGAUAGUAAUAGAGAGAGAGGAUAGUAAUAGAGAGAGAGGAUAGUAAUAGAGAGAGAGGGAUAUAAUAGAGAGAGAGGUGGGAUAGUAAUAAAGAGAUAGGGAUAGUAAUAGAGAGAGGGAUAGUAAUGUAGAAAGGGGAUAGUAAUAGAGAGAGAGGAUAGUAAUAGAGAGAGAGGAUAGUAAUAGAGAGAGAGGGAUAGUAAUAGAGAGAGAGGGAUAGUAAUAGAGAGAGAGGGAUAGUAAUAGAGAGAGAGG
rnacentral:lncRNA from 1 species